rnacentral:rRNA from 1 species
GACGAACGCUGGCGGCGUGCCUAACACAUGCAAGUGGAGCGACGAACCAGGGCUUGCCCUGGAGCAAAGCCGCGAACGGGUGAGUAACACGUGAGUAACCUACCCCGAUGAUUGGGACAACCCGAGGAAACUCGGGCUAAUACCGAAUAACCCCCCUGGACACCAGUCCAAUGGGAAAAGGAAGCUUCGGCCUCCGCAUUGGGAGGGGCUCGCGGCCCAUUAGCUAGUUGGUGAGGUAACGGCUCACAAAGGCAACGAUGGGUAGCUGGUCUGAGAGGACGAUCAGCCACACUGGGACUGAGACACGGCCCAGACUCCUACGGGAGGCAGCAGUGGGGAAUCUUGCGCAAUGCGCGAAAGCGUGACGCAGCAACGCCGCGUGGGGGAAGAAGGCCUUCGGGUUGUAAACCCCUUUCAGGAGGGACGAAGGUUCGACGGUGAAUAGCCGCUCGGACUGACGGUACCUCCACAAGAAGCUCCGGCUAACUACGUGCCAGCCGC